rnacentral:rRNA from 1 species
AGCGAACGUUUGCGGCGGGCCUAACACAUGCAAGUCGAACGCACUAGCAAUAGUGAGUGGCGCACGGGUGCGUAACACGUGGGUAAUCAACCCUUCAGCUUGGGAUAACGGACUUGAAAGGGUCGCUAAUACCGGAUACGGCGCGAGAGGCUUCGGCUUCUCACGAGAAAGCCUCGCAAGGGGCACUGAAGGACGAGCCUGCGGCCCAUCAGCUAGUUGGUGAGGUAAGAGCUCACCAAGGCUAAGACGGGUAGCUGGUCUGAGAGGAUGAUCAGCCACACUGGAACUGAGACACGGUCCAGACUCCUACGGGAGGCAGCAGUGGGGAAUAUUGCGCAAUGGGCGAAAGCCUGACGCAGCCACGCCGCGUGAGCGGAUGAAGGCCUU